GCUGCUGAAGUGAGAAGGCUGCAGGAAUGCUGUGGUUUGCUCCAUGGGGAGGGCAGCAGUACCAUCUUAGAGAUGGGGCUGAGUCUAGAGUUGGUGAUUUACAUGUGUGUUUUGCAGAACAGAUUCGUACAGAAAGAUUGUCCUCGCUGGUGGAGCUGCUUGUCACUUGCUUUCUGCUGCAAAUGACUAAGUCUCCUGGUGUACUUUGACACUAGGAAGAAACAGAAAUGAGCUGGCCAAUGGUGGAAUCAUAGAAUCAUUCUACAGCAUACUUCCUAAGGGCCACAGGAGGGAAGAAUUCAGAUUCAUCUGGAUUUUGAGCAUCAGCAGAGUGUGAUUUUGGUCCAGAAGACAUAAUACAUAUUUAUGGUAAACUGAAUGGUAUUCCUGUCUAUCCCCAACACUAUGUGUCUUACAUAAGGCAUGGAUGCUUCCAAAGCAUCUCAGCUCCAGAUUUCCAAAAUUUCCAAUGCUGAGCAUUCAGUGCUAUGUUUCAUGUUACCUUUUAACUCUCUAGAUCCUAUUUUAUAGAAUGUCCUGUACAGAUUUUUAACUCUAAAUAAAAUAUCAGUCUCAUUUUAGUAUCUCUGCAA